rnacentral:rRNA from 1 species
GACGAACGCUGGCGGCGUGCCUAAUACAUGCAAGUCGAGCGAAUGACGAGAAGCUUGCUUCUCUGAUUUAGCGGCGGACGGGUGAGUAACACGUGGGCAACCUGCCCUACAGAUUGGGAUAACUCAGGGAAACCUGGGCUAAUACCGGAUAAUCCUUCGAAUCACAUGUUUUGAAGUUGAAAGGCGCUUCGGCGUCACUGUAGGAUGGGCACGCGGUGCAUUAGCUAGUUGGUGGGGUAACGGCCUACCAAGGCAACGAUGCAUAGCCGACCUGAGAGGGUGAUCGGCCACAUUGGGACUGAGAGACGGCCCAAACUCCUACGGGAGGCAGCAGUAGGGAACCUUCCACAAUGGACGAAAGCCUGAUGGAGCAACGCCGCGUGAGUGAUGAAGGUUUUCGGAUCGUAAAACUCUGUUGUAAGGGAAGAACAAGUACGUUAGGAAAUGAACGUACCUUGACGGUACCUUAUUAGAAAGCCACGGCUAACUACGUGCCAGCAGCCGCCGUAA